rnacentral:rRNA from 1 species
AGCAGCCGCGGUAAUUCCAGCUCCAAUAGCGUAUAUUAAAGUUGUUGCAGUUAAAAAGCUCGUAGUUGAAUUUCGGGGUUAGUAGGUUGGUCGUGCCACUGGUACGUACUGGUCUCACUGACUCCUCCUUCCUGAUGAACUGUAAUGCCAUUAAUUUGGUGUUGCGGGGAAACUGGACUGUUACUUUGAAAAAAUUAGAGUGUUUAAAGCAAGCUAACGCUUGAAUACAUUAGCAUGGAAUAAUGAAAUAGGACGUUCGAUCCUAUUUUGUUGGUUUCUAGGAUUGACGUAAUGAUUAAUAGGGAUAGUUGGGGGCAUUAGUAUUCAAUUGUCAGAGGUGAAAUUCUUGGAUUUAUUGAAGACUAACUACUGACGAAAGCACUUGCCAAGGAUGUUUUCAUUAAUCAAGAACGAAAGUUAGGGAUCGGAAGACGAUCAGACUACCGUCGUAGUCUUAACCAUAAACUAUGCCGACUAGGGAUCGGGAUGAUUGUUUAAUUUUUUAAUGUACUUCUAUUCC